rnacentral:rRNA from 1 species
GACGAACGCUGGCGGCGCGCUUCACACAUGCAAGUCGAACGAGAAGCCCGGGCUUGCCCGGGUGGAAAGUGGCGAACGGGUGAGUAACACGUGAGCAACCUGCCCCGAAGACCGGGAUAACACCGGGAAACCGGUGCUAAUACCGGAUGUCUUCGCCGGACCGCAUGAUCCGGCGAGGAAAUGGUCAGCCGCUGCGGGAUGGGCUCGCGGCCUAUCAGCUUGGUGGUGGGGGAACGGCCCACCAAGGCGACGACGGGUAGCUGGUCGGAGAGGAUGUCCAGCCACACUGGGACUGAGACACGGCCCAGACUCCUACGGGAGGCAGCAGUGGGGAAUCUUGCGCAAUGGGCGAAAGCCUGACGCAGCGACGCCGCGUGCGGGAUGAAGGCCUUCGGGUUGUAAACCGCUUUCAGCAGGGACGAAAUUGACGGUACCUGCAGAAGAAGCCCCGGCCAACUACGUGCCAGCCGCCGCGGUAACAC